UACGAAGGGGCUAGCGUUGUUCGGAAUCACUGGCGUAAAGGGCGCGUAGGCGGCCGAUCAAGUCGGGGGUGAAAGCCUGUGGCUCAACCACAGAAUUGCCUUCGAUACUGAUUUGGCUUGAGACCGGAAGAGGUUAGUGGAACUGCGAGUGUAGAGGUGAAAUUCGUAGAUAUUCGCAAGAACACCAGUGGCGAAGGCGGCUGACUGGUCCGGUUC
rnacentral:rRNA from 1 species